CACGUAGGGCGCAAGCGUUGUCCGGAAUUAUUGGGCGUAAAGAGCUCGUAGGCGGUCUGUUGCGUCUGCUGUGAAAACUCGGGGCUUAACCCCGAGCCUGCAGUGGAUACGGGCAGACUAGAGGUAGGUAGGGGAGAAUGGAAUUCCCGGUGUAGCGGUGAAAUGCGCAGAUAUCGGGAGGAACACCGGUGGCGAAGGCGGUUCUCUGGGCCUUACCUGACGCUAAGGAGCGAAAGCGUGGGGAGCGAACAGG
rnacentral:rRNA from 1 species